GAUGAACGCUGGCGGCGUGCCUAAUACAUGCAAGUCGAGGGAACGGACGAGAAGCUUGCUUAGCUGAUGUUAGCGGCGGACGGGUGAGUAACACGUGGAUAACCUACCUAUAAGACUGGGAGAGGUUAGGGAAACCGUAGCUAAUACAGGAUGAGAUUUUGAACCGCAUGGUUAAAAAGUGAAAGACGGUCUUGGUGGCACUUGUAGAUGGAUCCGCGCUGCAUUAGCUAGUUGGUAAGGUAACGGCUUACCAAGGCAACGAUGCAUAGCCUACCUGAGAGGAUGAUCUGCCCCACCGCACCUGAACCGCGGUCCAGACUCCUCUGCGAGGCAGCACUGGGGUAUCUGCUACAAUGCGCGAAACCCUAACCUAGCACCGCCGCGCGGCUUAUGAAGGUCCUCGGAUCUUAAAACUCUGUUAUUAUUGAAGCACAUAUGUCUAACUCUCUCUACACAUCCUGACGGUACCUAAUCAGUAAGCCACGGCUAACUCCGUG
rnacentral:rRNA from 1 species